rnacentral:rRNA from 1 species
CCCACCUACCCUGUAGUCGGAACGGGUGGUGGAAGCAAAACCCCGAAGAUGGAAUCUAAAACACGAUUCCGGGCCCUACGGGGCGCAGCAGGCGCAAAAACUUUACAAUGCAGGAAACUGUGAUAAGGCACCCCCGAGGGCCCGUCCCCGCGGGCUGUCUGGUUGUUAAAAAUGCACCCAAAAAAAGGGCCGGGAAAGACCGGUGCCAGCCGCCGCGGUAAUACCGGCGGCUCGGGGGGUGACCACUUUUAUUGGGCUUAAAGCGUUCGUAGCUGGACUGCUAAUUCCCUUGGAAAACCCGCCGGCUUACCCGGCGGCCGUCUAAGGAAUACUGCCAUUCUUGCGACCGGAAAAGGUAAAAGGUCCUCCGGGGGAAGAAGAAAAAUCCGGAAACCCCCGGGGAACCACCGGUGGCGAAGGCUUCUUACCAGAACGCCUCCAACAGUGAGGAACAAAAGCUGGGGGAGCGAACCGAAUUAGAUCCCCGGUUACCCCCAGC